rnacentral:rRNA from 1 species
AUUGAACGCUGGCGGCAUGCCUUACACAUGCAAGUCGAACGGUAACGGGUCCUUCGGGAUGCCGACGAGUGGCGAACGGGUGAGUAAUAUAUCGGAACGUGCCCAGUAGUGGGGGAUAACUGCUCGAAAGAGCAGCUAAUACCGCAUACGACCUGAGGGUGAAAGGGGGGGAUCGCAAGACCUCCCGCUAUUGGAGCGGCCGAUAUCAGAUUAGCUAGUUGGUGGGGUAAAGGCCUACCAAGGCAACGAUCUGUAGUUGGUCUGGGAGGACGACCAGCCACACUGGGACUGAGACACGGCCCAGACUCCUACGGGAGGCAGCAGUGGGGAAUUUUGGACAGUGGGCGCAAGCCUGAUCCAGCAAUGCCGCGUGCAGGAAGAAGGCCUUCGGGUUGUAAACUGCUUUUGUCAGGGAAGAAAUCUUCUGGGCUAAUACCCCGGGAGGAUGACGGUACCUGAAGAAUAAGCACCGGCUAACUACGUGCCAGCAGCCGCCGCAG